UAACUGGAAAUUAUGUUUCUGAUGAGAAGAUAAUUGUAGAAGAACAGUAUUUAACGGCGUCUCUCUCAGCUCUCACUACACCUGAUCAUCAACACAGGAAAAAGAAGUCAAAAUUCAGUGAGUUUUUCCUCAAAACAAGCAAAAUAAUCUACCAAUAAGGAGCCUAUAAAAGAUGAAGAACUUUGGUGUGAAGUUGGUUCUGGUCACUGUGCUUCUCCAGCUGUUCCUCUCUGUGCAUGAGGUCAGCGCCCAAGACCCAGCUGAAGGAGAAGAUGGAGGAGCAGCUGAACCAGCAGCUCCUAAAAAAGAGAAAGAAUCCAAAGUUAAAUCAUUCUUCAAAGCUGUGGGAGAGAAGUUGAAAAAUCUUAAAGAUAAAAUAACGGGUUGAACAUCAGCAUCACCUUCUUCUUUUCCUUUCAAUCUUGUAAUUGUGAAGAUCAUCUUAAUAAACCUGAAUGUAGCAAAUGCA